UGUUGCAAACUUUAGCAUAUAUUAGGAGUGAUGAAGCUGAUUUCAAAUUUCUAUUUCUCAUCAUUAACAAGAAGCUCGUUAUCUUCACAUUAAAACAGUUGCUUUUUAAAGGAGGAGUAAAUUGAUAAACUUCGUAAUCUUUGUAGUACGGCCACUCUUAGCUUACUUGUUCAUCCAACCGUGCUGCGCUUCCAAUACUGCACAGAUGCUUUAAUGUUUUAAUACUCCAUGGUUUCAGGUAUUGUCUUGGAGAUGUAGAAUCUGCCUUCAUCCGCUGCAACAUCAAAGUCACAAGUUCCUUGGAGAUGAGUGGGUAUCAUCCUGAAAUGGUUCGAAGUAUCAGAGGCUUGUUGGAGGACCAAGAAUAGCCGGAAGCAUCAAGAAGGAAUGAUAUGCUCCAGCAAUUGAAAGCAAUCAUUACAAUUGGAAGAGCUUUACACAUUGUUCAGGGUUCUUCCAGGAUGCUCAUUGUCUCAUGCAUCGAUGGACUAGUAGUGGUCCUCCUUACCGUAUGCUAGCGAAGCUAGAUAAACCUAUAUUGAUCACCUAACUUUCUGCACUUGCUGCAAAUUUUUGCUCUAUGUGAGGUACUUUAGAUCGGUAGUAAAGAGUAGCAUAAAUUCAUC